CAGUCGCGUGCCCACACAAGUCAUUCUUCACAGUCUUGUGUGCAUUAGCGAGACCAAACGUGCCCAAGAACAUGGACUUCAUGAAAAAGAUAGCUACCGAUGGAAAGUUGGACAAGUUCGCUGACAAAGCAGCUGAUGCUGCAAAGGCGAAAGUUGGUGAAGUGCUCGAUGAAGCAGCACUCGAGGAGAAAGCAAAGGGAGUCGCUGCUGAGAAGAUCGGUGCGGUGGUAGACGGUGCAGAAGACAAGGCUUUGGGUUUUGGGAAAAAACUGUUUGGAUGACUUUUCCUCUUUCAGUAUAAUGUUGUUUGAUAUGAAAACAAUGUUUUUUGGGACCUGAUUAAAAAAUAUAUUUUGUCAAAU